UUUGUAAUAAAGCCCUUUGGGGUGAAAAAGUCAUUCUGAUUGGCUGGGCCUAUUCCCCCAGUUAGUGGAACUGGCUCCCAAGUGAGUGGACCUAUGCCCUCCCAGGCCCACCCAUGGUUGCACCCCUGCCCAGUCAUGUGAAAUCCUUAGAUUAGGGCCUAAUUUAUUUAUUUCAAUUGACUGAUUUCCUUAUAUGAACUGAAACUCAGUAAAAUCGUUGAAAUUGUUGCAUGUUGCGUUUAUAUUUUUGUUCAGUAUACAUAUACAGUAGGGCUUAUUAUAUGUUGGGGUGGCAGGUAGCCUAGCGGUUAGAGCAGGUAGCCUAGUGGUUAGAGCAGUUAGCCUAGCGGUUAGAGCAGGUAGCCUAGCGGUUAGAGCAGUUAGCCUAGCGGUUAGAGCAGGUAGCCUAGCGGUUAGAGCAGGUAGCCUAGCGGUUAGAGCAGGUAGCCUAGCGGUUAGAGCAGGUAGUCUAGCGGUUAGAGCAGGAAGCCUAGCGGUUAGAGCAGGUAGCCUAGUGGUUAGAGCAGGUAGCCUAGCGGUUAGAGCAGUUAGCCUAGCGGUUAGAGCGUUGGGCCAGUAACUGAAAGUUUGCUUGAUCGAAUCCCUGAGCUGACAAGGUAAAAAUCUGUCGUUCUGCUCCUGAAAAAGACAGUUCAUCCACUGUUCCUAGGCCAUCAUUGUAAAUAAGAAUUUGUUCUUAACUGACUUGCCUAGUUAAAUAAAGGUUAAAUAAAAAAUUAAAAAAUGUUGGCUCAGGGCCAGCAGCUAAGCUACUGUAUUAGAGUUGCAUAGUAAUAUGUUAGGUUAGUAUUAGCACUAAGGUGUAUGUGGA
ensembl:lncRNA